rnacentral:rRNA from 1 species
UACAGAGGGUGCAAGCGUUGUCCGGAUUUAUUGGGCGUAAAGAGCUCGUAGGCGGCUUGUUGCGUCAGCUGUGAAAACCCGCAGCUCAACUGUGGGCUUGCAGCUGAUACGGGCAGGCUUGAGUUCGGUAGGGGAGACUGGAAUUCCUGGUGUAGCGGUGAAAUGCGUAGAUAUCGAGAGGAACACCUGCGGCGAAGGCGGGUAGCUGGGCCGACACUGACGCUGAUGCGCGAAAGCCAGGGGAGCGAACGGG